rnacentral:rRNA from 1 species
UGGGGAAUUUUGGACAAUGGGCGAAAGCCUGAUCCAGCAAUGCCGCGUGUGUGAAGAAGGCCUUCGGGUUGUAAAGCACUUUUGUCCGGAAAGAAAUCCUUGGCUCUAAUACAGUCGGGGGAUGACGGUACCGGAAGAAUAAGCACCGGCUAACUACGUGCCAGCAGCCGCGGCAAUACGUAGGGUGCAAGCGUUAAUCGGAAUUACUGGGCGUAAAGCGUGCGCAGGCGGUUUGCUAAGACCGAUGUGAAAUCCCCGGGCUCAACCUGGGAACUGCAUUGGUGACUGGCAGGCUAGAGUAUGGCAGAGGGGGGUAGAAUUCCACGUGUAGCAGUGAAAUGCGUAGAGAUGUGGAGGAAUACCGAUGGCGAAGGCAGCCCCCUGGGCCAAUACUGACGCUCAUGCACGAAAGCGUGGGGAGCAAACAGGAUUAGAUACCCUGGUAGUCCACGCCCUAAACGAUGUCAACUAGUUGUUGGGGAUUCAUUUCCUUAGUAACGUAGCUAACGCGUGAAGUUGACCGCCUGGGGAGUACGGUCGCAAGAUUAAAACUUAAAUGAAUUGACGGGGUCAUAGCUGUUUCCU